rnacentral:rRNA from 1 species
UCGUGCUCGUGCUCGUGCUCAAGCCUAAUACAUGCAAGUCGAGCGGAUGAUGGGAGCUUGCUCCUGGAUUCAGCGGCGGACGGGUGAGUAAUGCCUAGGAAUCUGCCUGGUAGUGGGGGACAACGUUUCGAAAGGAACGCUAAUACCGCAUACGUCCUACGGGAGAAAGCAGGGGACCUUCGGGCCUUGCGCUAUCAGAUGAGCCUAGGUCGGAUUAGCUAGUUGGUGGGGUAAUGGCUCACCAAGGCGACGAUCCGUAACUGGUCUGAGAGGAUGAUCAGUCACACUGGAACUGAGACACGGUCCAGACUCCUACGGGAGGCAGCAGUGGGGAAUAUUGGACAAUGGGCGAAAGCCUGAUCCAGCCAUGCCGCGUGUGUGAAGAAGGUCUUCGGAUUGUAAAGCACUUUAAGUUGGGAGGAAGGGUUGUAGAUUAAUACUCUGCAAUUUUGACGUUACCGACAGAAUAAGCACCGGCUAACUCUGUGCCAGCAGCCGCGGUAAUACAGAGGGUGCAAGCGUUAAUCGGAAUUACUGGGCGUAAAGCGCGCGUAGGUGGUUAGUUAAGUUGGAUGUGAAAUCCCCGGGCUCAACCUGGGAACUGCAUUCAAAACUGACUGACUAGAGUAUGGUAGAGGGUGGUGGAAUUUCCUGUGUAGCGGUGAAAUGCGUAGAUAUAGGAAGGAACACCAGUGGCGAAGGCGACCACCUGGACUGAUACUGACACUGAGGUGCGAAAGCGUGGGGGAGCAAACAGGAUUAGAUACCCUGGUAGUCCACGCCGUAAACGAUGUCAACUAGCCGUUGGGAGCCUUGAGCUCCUAGUGGCGCAGUAACGCAUUAAGUUGACCGCCUGGGGAGUACGGCCGCAAGGUUAAAACUCAAAUGAAUUGACGGGGGGCCGCACAAGCGGUGGAGCAUGUGGGUUAAUUC